rnacentral:rRNA from 1 species
AGCGAACGCUGGCGGCAGGCUUAACACAUGCAAGUCGAGCGGGCAUCCUUGUGGUGUCAGCGGCAGACGGGUGAGUAACGCGUGGGAACGUGCCCUUCGGUUCGGAAUAACUCAGGGAAACUUGAGCUAAUACCGGAUACGUGCGAGAGCAGAAAGGUUUAUCUGCCGAAGGAUCGGCCCGCGUCUGAUUAGCUAGUUGGUGAGGUUAUGGCUCACCAAGGCGACGAUCAGUAGCUGGUCUGAGAGGAUGAUCAGCCACACUGGGACUGAGACACGGCCCAGACUCCUACGGGAGGCAGCAGUGGGGAAUAUUGGACAAUGGGGGCAACCCUGAUCCAGCCAUGCCGCGUGAGUGAUGACGGCCUUAGGGUUGUAAAGCUCUUUUCUUCGGGACGAUAAAGACGGUACCGGAGGAAUAAGCCCCGGCUAACUUCGUG